rnacentral:rRNA from 1 species
UGGGGAAUUUUGGACAAUGGGGGAAACCCUGAUCCAGCCAUCCCGCGUGUGCGUUGAAGGCCCCCGGGUUGUAAAGCACCUUUGGCAGGAAAGAAACGUCAUGGGUUAAUACCCCGUGAAACUGACGGUACCUGCAGAAUAAGCACCGGCUAACUACGUGCCAGCAGCCGCGGUAAUACGUAGGGUGCAAGCGUUAAUCGGAAUUACUGGGCGUAAAGCGUGCGCAGGCGGUUCGGAAAGAAAGAUGUGAAAUCCCAGAGCUCAACUUUGGAACUGCAUUUUUAACUGCCGAGCUAGAGUGUGUCAGAGGGAGGUGGAAUUCCGGGUGUAGCAGGGAAAUGCGUAGAUAUGCGGGGGAACACCGAUGGCGAAGGCAACCUCCUGGGAUUACACUGACGCUCAUGCAAGAAAGCGUGGGGAGCAAACAGG